rnacentral:rRNA from 1 species
CCUACGUGAGGCAGCAGUGAGGAAUAUUGGUCAAUGGGCGCGAGCCUGACCCAGCCCAGUCGCGUGAAGGAUGACUGCCCUACGGUUUGUAAACUUCUUUUAUAAAGGAAUAAAGUGAGGCACGUGUGCCUUUUUGUAUGUCCUUUAUGAAUAAGGAUCGCCUAACUCCGUGCCAUCAGCCGCGAUCAUACUGAGGAUCCGAGCGUUAUCCGGCUUUAUUGGGUUUAAAGGUUGCGUAGGCGGUCAUUUAAGCCGGCGGUCAAAUGUCGGGGCUAAACCGCGGCCUGCCGUCGGAACUGGGUUCCGUGAGUGGGCGAGAAGUAGGCGGAAUGCGUGGUGUAGCGGUGAAAUGCAUAGAUAUUACGAAGAACCCCGGUUGCGAAGGCAGUAUACCGGAGCCCUACUGACGCUGAGGCACGAAAGUGCGGGUAUCGAACAGGAUUAGAUACCCCAGUAGUC